CGGACGGGUGAGGAAUACAUCGGAAUCUACUCUGUCGUGGGGGAUAACGUAGGGAAACUUACGCUAAUACCGCAUACGACCUACGGGUGAAAGCAGGGGAUCUUCGGACCUUGCGCGAUUGAAUGAGCCGAUGUCGGAUUAGCUAGUUGGCGGGGUAAAGGCCCACCAAGGCGAUGAUCCGUAGCUGGUCUGAGAGGAUGAUCAGCCACACUGGAACUGAGACACGGUCCAGACUCCUACGGGAGGCAGCAGUC
rnacentral:rRNA from 1 species